UGAACACCAAAAAAAACUUCCUUUUAAAUAACUCUGAGUUUUCCCUAUAAAACUAAUUAAUUGAACUGAGAAAGAGCUUAAUUUAUAUCUUUACAUCUAUAGCACACCUACGCAAUAAGCCACCAAAAGACUUUCGGAAAUAGAUGUUGAAACUGAUACCUUCUUCACGUGAAACGCCGCGGAGACACUCCCCCGAAACCCUCUUGGCUGCUCCAUCGGUAACACUUUCUUGUGGUAAGACUGACAGGUUUGUUGAUGUUCUGGUUCUCGACAUCAACUUUGGGACACAACUUUUGUUCAUUUUGCGCUUUAUUAGUCUUUUCAUGAUAAAGACUAGAUCAGGAAGAACUGGAAGAGAGAACCUGAAACCUGCCCACGUUACUUAAAGGUGGAUUCAUUACAUCUGUUGAUCAUCUGGAUUCAGAGCCUUUAAUUUGACCUUCACAUAAGAAACGUGAAGACUCCCGAAUCCUAAAAUUCUUCUGUGCAGUCGCUCCAGUCUGUAAAACCUGGUGAAGCAUUAUUAGAAGACAAAAAAUCGGUCAAGCUAUGCUACAAAGCCAAAUUGAGUCCUUUAAUGAAUUCAACUUUUAACAAUAUAAUUUAGUUUAAAUAAUAGUAUAUUUAUAGUUACAAUCAAUUUAAAAAACAUUUUCUCGUUUUUCUCCUUUAAAACAUUUUGUUUCAUUCCUGUGAUAAAAAGAAUUGAUUUUUGUUCUUCUACUACAUAAAUUUGCAGAAAAGUGUGGUGUUUUUCUGUUUUGCUUUUACAGCCCUCAGCAAAUUUUGGUAUAAGAGCAGUCAGUGGUGUUUCACAGUCUCUGUGGCAAAUAGUUCACUUUUCCAUGGGUCACACGAAAGUUUAUUCAAGGAAGAUUCAG
rnacentral:lncRNA from 1 species